GUACACAGUUCGUGAGACCAUGUAAAAUGCCUGAAAACUGGCUUAAAAAUAGGCAUGAAACAUAUUUGACAGAUAUUUGAUAUCCAUUUUCUUUCAACAUUCUGCAAGCAUUUUUAACGGGUCUAUUUUUCGAGCAUUUUUCAGACAUUUUUCACGAGCUUGUA